AUUGAACGCUGGCGGCAUGCUUUACACAUGCAAGUCGAACGGCAGCACGGGCUUCGGCCUGGUGGCGAGUGGCGAACGGGUGAGUAAUAUAUCGGAACGUACCCAGAAGUGGGGGAUAACGUAGCGAAAGUUACGCUAAUACCGCAUACGAUCUAUGGAUGAAAGCAGGGGACCGCAAGGCCUUGUGCUCCUGGAGCGGCCGAUAUCUGAUUAGCUAGUUGGUGAGGUAAAGGCUCACCAAGGCGACGAUCAGUAGCUGUCUGAGAGGACGACCAGCCACACUGGAACUGAGACACGGUCCAGACUCCUACGGGAGGCAGCAGUGGGGAAUUUUGGACAAUGGGCGCAAGCCUGAUCCAGCAAUGCCGCGUGAGUGAAGAAGGCCUUCGGGUUGUAAAGCUCUUUUGUCAGGGAAGAAACGGUAGAGGCUAAUAUCCUUUGCUAAUGACGGUACCUGAAGAAUAAGCACCGGCUAACUACGUG
rnacentral:rRNA from 1 species